ensembl:lncRNA
AUGCAGAGCACUAAUUCCGAGUAUAGGUCACCAUACUUGGCCACAUGUCACGUCACUUUCACUUUCACUUAUAAAAGUAUACAAAACAGGUGCCAAAAAUUCAGACAUGUAACAGAAAACUUUUAUCUUUUGAUGCUUUAUCGAGUCACAAAUUUAAGCAUGAAUUCAUAUGACGGUCCUGCUUACAAGUUACUUCUUUAACCCACUGUCAACGACUGAGAAACACAAUACAUAAAGUUUUUCUGAAGUGCUUGAAUUUUUUUUAGGUCUUGCUCUCACAUUGGCCUUUAAACUCUUGCCUCCCACACUUUCUCUGUGUCUUUGAGGACGUGUCUGUCACAGCGUGUUAGUCGGGGGGAGGACAGGCUGCGAGAAACGUCUGGCAGUGAUAUUCACAUCUAAUGUCGGCUCUGACACUAAGAGCAGAGGCAUAUGGAAGGGAGAAAGGUGAUGGAUGUUUCACUUCCUGAAGCACUGCGUGUGUUUGUAUGAAUUGAUGUCCUAACCCUGAAGUUUACCCUUACAUUAAAUAUUGCUUAUCUACAGUACAUUGCCUUAUGUUUUCAAGUAAGAAGUUGUGUCGUCUGUCAUAAUAAGUAUAUUAUAGUGUAAUAUUCCUAAUUUAACUGAUGACAUGGUAACAAUUUGAAUUCUUCCCUUUCUAUAUCUGCCUUUUCUCUUUUACAUAAGUAACACAUUAAGAGGCAACAGAAAUUGCAAGCAAAUGCAGCAUACAAAAUGUUAUUCGAAAAGCAAAAUGUGAGAGUAUUGCUAUUAUAUCCUGCAGACCUGCCAUUUAUAACUCAUAUUAUCCCAACCCCAGCACCAGGCUAAUGCUGCCUUCAAGUCAUGCCGGAAUGAUCGUGUUUACCAGAUGAGACCAUAUGAACAGCAUCGCAAUGUCGCAAUUAGCGUAAUUAUUUUCAUUGAACACAGACUUUGUGAGUUGAGGGCAUGUUGAUUCAAGAAUUCUGCCAGAAGCUAAUUGCUAUCAUAAUAAGCUGUAAUUGUGAAUGUUGAUGGUACAGUACAAUUCGGGUUUGCAUUUUGUGUACUGUUCAUGAAGAAUAACCAAAAUACUUAUUACAAUAUAAUACUCAUUUAACCGUUUUAUGAGCUGACAGGUUUGUGCAACUUAAUUACAUUUCCCACUAUUCUCUAAAGCAGGAACUUUAGAAACAUUUUUGUCAGCUGAACAUCUUUGACCUAAAAUAUGUUCUUAAAAUACCCCUGAGACUUUAGGAGAAAACAUUAAAAUAAUCAGCAUCUGAAAAAUAUAUUCAAAUGUUCACAGUUUUGUGAUAUAGGAUGGUCACAUCAUAGACAGGUAUUUCUUUUUAAAAUAUGUAUAUAUUUUCAUUUUACAUUUAAUUAAUUAUUAGCUUUUCGUUAACUUACAAACCCUAUUUUGUGAAACCCUGCUCUAAAGCAUCAAUACACAUUUUCAUCCAAGUUAAAUUGUGUAAUAAAUAAAUAAAAAUUAAAAAUACA